rnacentral:rRNA from 1 species
AUUGAACGCUGGCGGCAGGCCUAACACAUGCAAGUCGAGCGAGCGGCGGACGGGUGAGUAAUGUCUGGGAAACUGCCUGAUGGAGGGGGAUAACUACUGGAAACGGUAGCUAAUACCGCAUACCAUCAGAUGUGCCCAGAUGGGAUUAGCUAGUAGGUGUGGUAACGGCUCACCUAGGCGACGAUCCCUAGCUGGGCUGAGAGGAGUACCAGCCACACUGGAACGGAGCCACGGUCCAGACUCCUACGGUAGGCAGCAGUGGGGAAUAGUGCACAAUGGGAGCAAGCCUGAUGCAGCCAUGCCGCGUGUGUGAAGAAGGCCUUCGGGUUGUAAAGCACUUUCAGCGGGGAGUCGUUACCCGCAGAAGAAGCACCGGCUAACUCCGUGCCAGCAGCCGCGGUAAUUC